ACGGCUUGUGAUUCGGAGUCUUGCAUGAUUUCAUCCCUAUUGUUUCUACCAUGUCUCCGUUAGAGUGAAAGGCAAAGAACAACCAUAAAUUUCACAGUACGCUGAUUACCUAUACAAAAAUAAGCAAAGCAAAGACAGAGAAGGGGGAUUCGCACGGAAUCGCUUAGAAUCCAAUUAACAACGGUU
ensembl:ncRNA F31F6.10 ncRNA